GGUAGCUCAGUUGGUUAGAGCGUGGUGCGGAUAACGCCAAGGCUGCAGUUUUGAUCCCUGUACGAGACAGCUGCA